rnacentral:lncRNA from 1 species
AGAGCAGCACAGUCAUGAAGCAGGACUGGGCUGCCACCUCCCGCGGGCCUGCCUGGAGGGAGGGCAAGGACACCAGGGCCACCAGAUGAUCCCGCCGCGGCCCGGGCCAGUAGGAGGAAGAGGAGGCGAGAGAAUAAGGUUUCAAAAAGGAGAAGGAGCCUAAAGGAAAGAGAAUUCCAGAAGAAGGUGACCUUGGCAAAUAUACAGAUGUCUUCUAGGAUGAAGGAAACCGAUUGAAUUCCGUUCAGCCUCUGUAAAGAAGGUCAGCAGGGUACGUAUUUCACUACCUAAGUGAUAAACAAGGUCACAGAGGUCCAAGGGUUGAAAUAUAAGAAGGAUUUUUUUAAAGUUAGCUUUCCUUCGUUAUCAUGUAGACCUGCGUUUCAGUCAUCAGUGAGCAAAUACUGAUGGAGGCCUUAGAGGGGGCUGGGCACUUCGGGAAACCAGCCCAAUAGCCCUGCCAGCCUGGAGCUAUUUUUCGAGUGGGUUUAAAGUUGGAAAACUAUUGCGAUCGUUUGUCUCAUCAUGUGUGGAUGUGUAACGUGCCUGAGUGUUAUGGUAGCUGAGUGAUUCAUUAGUAACUAGGAAAAAAAAUCAUGGUAUUACCUUUAAAACACAGACAACUCUUGAUUUUCUGCGCUAAUGAGGAAUCACAGGAACACAUAUAGUUGAUAAAUUAUGUUUGUUUUACCUGUACGUUCGGGAAAUCAUCAGUUUGGCCUUUGCGGUUUAAAGCCUGUCUCCAUCCGUUUGGAUUUCUGGUUGUCCUCCAUCCCCGCCCCUCCUGCCUAAUUUGCAAACGGUCACAUGGGCCCAGGGAAGCGUGGAGAAGCCGCUGUCAGGUGAUCACCGUUAGGUUCGUAGUGGUGUCUUGGUCCCUGAGUGGGGUGACCUUGGCAAAUACCUUAUCACCUUCUCCAAUAAAAUAAACGCAAGCGAGUCCCUGAACCACCGGGGCUUUCAGUUACUACCCCUGACCACCCUGAAGAGGCCUGGUGAGAGCCAAGAGCCUAUCUUGUAAAUCUCUGAUUAUUCAGACAGGAAAGCCAGACAUUUCCUAGUUUAGCAGAAUUAAAAUGUGAAGGGUGCUGUCUGGGAGGUGCCAAAACAGCUGGAAGCCAAAUUUAAGAAAUUAGAAUAAUUAGUUGGUCCCAAAGGGUAUCCUUCACUGUUAGAAUUGCAUUGCCAAGGAUUGAGCUGGGGAGUUUGGCCUCCAGGGAAGAGUUAACAAAUCAGACAGGAACAUUACAAAAAUUUCCACUGAAAAAGAAGUUCCUUGGAAGUGGAGCUGAGAGGCUUGCUAAUUGCAGCUUACUCUAAGCCUAAUGACAGCCCUGCAGCUUCCGUGAAGAAAGCACAGGACGUUUGAAUGAUGGUGAGGGGAGAGGGGACUCCGGGCAGAUGGAUCCGAAUCAACCGGGCAAAAUGAGUCCUUUAGACUCUGACCCCUUUUGGAGUGAACUGCAUUGGGAGAGGAGUCAAGUUUGCUUUCUCCAAGAUUCUUAACCAACAGUAAAGAUUGAUAAAACACAUUUUCCAGAAGUUCAACCAUAUAAUAACUUUAGCAGGCACAUCAUAAUCCACUGCCUCGAUUUCAAACAUUUCCUUGAUGUAGGGUGAUCACGGUGGAAAGGAAUGUUAUUCUUCUCCAGCCAUUGGGAAGAUUUUGUCGUCCUUAAUCCCAGAAACUAAAUCACUGGCUACUUCAGAGGCUCUGAUCUGAAUCUUAAUUGAUGCCCAUUGCCUUUUUUAGACUCCUAUGUUUGAUUUUAACCAGACAGAUCCAGGAGGAAGGAUUCAGGUGGCCGUGAUGGAGAAAGGGUAAUAUUUUGGCCAGUCAUAUGGUGAGCCUAUUCCAAAACCCUUUCCAUUUAUAAUGUAACUCUGUAGGGCUUUCCUCCUGAGGUAGCCCUCCUUUCGUGACAUCCAGUGCAGUGGAAACUAGGUUUUCCUUUUCUGUUUGAUUGUCCCCUUCAGUCUUGAUGCUAGUUAACGUCGUUGGAUCGUAACAUUAUUAGCUAACAUUUGGGUGCUGAUUUACACAUAAUUCCAUAGGCCUGUUGACCCGCAUCAACUUAAUUAAUGUUCACGAGAGCCCUAGGGAGUAAAUCAUUCUAUCUUCCACGCUCCAGAUGAUGAAACUAAGGAGACGCAGGUGGUAUAGGUAAAGUGACUUACGCCAGGUUGGUCAAGUGACCCUGUGACUGUGCUGUAACUGAAAGCCCAGUCUUUUAACUAAGUCGUUUGCUUAAAGAUGUUCAUCUAAGGACUAAGCAGCUCCUUUCAGUGGAUUCUUCCAGCAUAGAUGCUUUUGGUGUGAAGACAUUGCUUUUUCUUAGGGGAAGAAUUAUCUAUUUAAAGAUCGGAGGCUUUUCAUUUUAUUUCCAUCUCUCCCACAUUGCUUUUAAAGUGCUGACCACCAAGAGCGAGGAGGAUUUUCCAUGGACGAAGCUACCAUAUGUGUGAAGCAAUCUUUGGAUACCACUGGUUUUUCUUCCUAAAUCGCAUUUCCUUUUUCUGGCACUUGUUAUGACCAAGUCCUCUUUUCAAAUACUUGACAUCCAUGAGCUCCUUCCAAAUUCACUUUUAUCAAAAUGUACUUGUAAGGGAAGUUCCCAUUGUGGCUCAGUGGUUAAUGAACCCGACUAGCAUCCACGAGGACACGGGUUCAAUCUCUGGUCCUACUGAGUGGGUUAAGGAUCCAGCGUUGCCGUGAGCUAUGGUGUAGGUGGCAGACGAGGCUCAGAUCCCGCGUUGCUGUGGCUGUGGUGUAGGCCAGCGGCCACUGCUCCGAUUGGACCUCUAGCCUGGGAAUUUCCAUAGGCCUCAGGUGCGGCCCUAAAAAUACAAAAAGACCCCAAAAAAAUGUGCUUGUAGGAUAGGACUUGAUCUCAUUGAUUUCAGUUGAUAGAAUGCCAAGCCGUUACUCUCCUGCAAGCCAUAUUUUUUACUGUGAAAGAAAUCUGCUUCUCUAGUAAAGGGGGUUUUAAGGAGUAGAGGGAUGAGGUUUUAAAAUACAGCAUCUUCCUUUAUUCUCGAAAUUCUAUCAUGUAGCGGUACUGUGCUUUAGCCAACUCAGCUCUAGCUAGGACAUCUUGAUCCGCCAACCAGGGUAUCAUAGCAACUUGCUGUACAUUUUCUGUGAUGUAGAGAGAACAGGCAUUUAGCAGAAGGCUGUUUUUCUUCGAAGCCAGUGCAAGAAGAGGUCAGUGGAAUGCUGGGGCCGUUUAGUUUCCUCAGUGGAAAGAAACAGAAAGUUUCUGCAUUAAUUAGAAGGUCUGAAAGGGAGCAAGGGGUAAGGGCGAUUGAGAAAUAAUUGCAGCAAACAGAAUGCUAGGUAUUCUGUGUGAGCGCGUGUUCCAUUUGGGGAAUGGGUGAGAAUAGAAAAUACUGUAACCAUCGUGAAAGGGGCUCAGCUAAAACUGCCCCUCCUUGCCCAGCUUCAGCCCCAGUUGAGCCUGCUCUACUCAUUCCAUCUCGGUCACUGCAGUGCCCAGCACCUCCAAGUUAGACACCAGGAGUCCACAGAGGAGGCAAGGAAAGGGGAGAGAAGGUGUAGAAGCUCCAUUUGGCUCUUCAGAAAAAAAGUUUUAUAAUAAAUAUUAUUGUUAAAAAUAGCGCGAUGAAUUCCAUACCAUGCCCACCCCUUUCCCGCCUCGUGGAUGUUUCAGCUUCUGGGAGACAUUCUACUUGUCACUGAGCUGUGGGAAGUGUAGAGUAGAUUUCCUGAUUAGCAGGUGGAAGGGAUAGACAGUUGGUGCAUAAAAAAAUAAUAAUGGUUUUAUUGAGCACUUAGUAUGUUCUGCGCAAACACACCACCGUUGACUCACAAUCACCCAAUGAAGGAAGUAGUAUUACUAUAAUUCUGGAGCCCCCAAAGGAGUUAGAAGCCAAGGGCUCAGGAACCAACCCUCUUGGUUCAAAUCCUGGUUGCACUCUGUGCCUGCUGUGUGACUUUAAGACAGUUACUUAACCUCUCCAUGAAUCAGCUUCGUCACCUUUAAAACUGGGUACCAGUGUCACACAUCUGUGUCAGGGUCUCCUAGCCCACCCCCAGUUUCAGUGACUCACCUAGGAGGACUCAUAGGACUCAGCAUGUGAUCUUACCCACAACUAAGAUCUGUUAGGUCAAAUGGAAAAUUAAAGUCAGCAAAAAGGAAGGCACAUAGGGAAAAGUCCAGAGGUAACCAGGCAGAAGCUGCCAAGAUUCAUCUCCCACUGGAGUCACACAGGACAUACAUAAUUCUUCCUGCAAUGAAUUAUGACAGGUGUGCCGCAGUGUCUACGCGGGAACCUCAGUGGAGACUCAGUGCUGGAAUUUUGACUGAGGGCUGGUCACUUGGGCACCCUCUUUGUGGCACAUACCAAAAUUCCAGACUCCCAGAAGAGAGUAGGUGCUUAGCAUAAACCCCAUUGUUUGCACGGUUAGGUACAGUGAGUAACUCCUAUCAGGAAAUAAUAGGAGGUCUCCUGAAAUCCAAGUUCCCGGAUACCUGUUAAGAGUCAACCUUAUAGGAGUUCCUGCAGUGGCACAGUGGUUAACGAAUCCAACUAGGAACCAUGAGGUUGCGGGUUCCAUCCCUGACUUUUCUCGGUAGGUUAAGAAUCCAGCAUUGCCGUGAGCUGUGGUGUAGGUCGCAGACACGGCUCGGAUCCCGUGUUGCUGUGGCUGUGGCAUAGGCCCACGGCAGCAGCUCCGAUUAGACCCCUAGCCUGCGAACCUCCAUAUGCUGAGGGAAGUGGCCCUAGAAAAGGGAAAAUAAAAAGAGUCAACCUUAUAAGCAAGGCUUUCUAAAGAUAGCAGCUUCAGGCCAGCUGUGUUAACUCCGUUUUGCACAUCACCUCAUUGGAUUAUUGAGAAAUUAGAUGACGUAAUAUAUCCAUGUUUACAACAGUGCUUUAUACUUAGGAAGCCCUAAAAAUUUUUGUAGCCAUUAUUGGUAAAUGGGAAAAAUUACUGAAGCUUAGAAUGACUGCAGAGUCAGGCCUAUCUGUAAUCUGAAUUUACGUCUACCUGACUUAAAAAGAUCCAUGCAUUUACUCACUUCACUCAAGCAGAAACAAAAUAGCAUCCUUCAGACUUCCGCUAGGAAUGGAGAUAAUGGAUCCCUCCUUUCUCAGAUUUGUAGUUGAUGGGGUCUGUAAGUGUAGCUGUUUUGAAAAUAUAGCUUUCUCUAGCUACAAGUAAUAUCACACCAUGGUGCAGAAUCCUAAUUAGUUAAACCUACUCCUAGAGUGUAGACAUGAUCUAGUACUUUACUGCCCUAAAUGAGCAUAUUUUGGAUGUACCACAGUCUUUCUCUUCCACUCAAUUCGGCAUGCUUUGUUUAUGUCUCUAAUUUUUCAGAAUACCCUAAUACUCUUAAGAAUUUUCUUUUGUAAGAUCUAGAUAGGGAGUUUCCGCUGUGGCUCAGCAGUUUAAGAACCCAACAUAGUGUCUUUGAGGCUGUGGGUUCGAUCCCUGGCCAUGCUCAGUGAGCUAAGGAUCUGGCAUUGCCACAAGCUAUGGGAUGGUUUGCAGAUGCGGCUUGGAUCUGGCAUUGCUGUAGCCCAAGAACUUCCAUUUAAAAAAAAAAAAAAAAAAAAAAA